rnacentral:rRNA from 1 species
CGCUGGCGGCGAUGCCUGACACAUGCAUGUCUAACGCUCAAAGGGGAGCACUCCCUGAUUUCUAGUGGUCUAACGGGGUGAUGUAACACACUGGAGUGACCUGCCUUCGAGUGGGGGAUAACGUCCCGAAAGGGACGCUAAUACCGCAUGACAUCCUGCUUUUGGACAAGCGGAGAUCAAAGCUGGGGAUCGCAAGACCUGGCGCUUGAAGAGGGGCCCGCGCCUGAUUAGCUAGUUGGUGAGGUAACGGCUCACCAAGGCUACGAUCAGUAUCCGGCCUGAGAGGGCGGACGGACACACUGGGACUGAGACACGGCCCAGACUCCUACGGGAGGCAGCAGUGGGGAAUUGUUCGCAAUGGGCGAAAGCCUGACGACGCAACGCCGCGUGGAGGAUGAAGAUUUUCGGAUCGUAAACUCCUGUCGAGUGGGAAGAACAGCUUCCGGAUAAAUAUUUCGGGAGCCUGACGGUACCACUAAAGGAAGCCCCGGCUAACUCCGUGCCAACAGCCGCGGUAAUACACGGGGGGUAAGCGUUGUUCGGAAUUACUGGGCCGUAAA